GCCUCUAUGGCGCAGUGGUAACGCGUCGCACUUGUAUUUUCCAACCAUAUGCAAUGCGAAGAUCCUGGGUUCAACUCCCAGUGGAGGCA
rnacentral:tRNA from 1 species